GUGAGGGAUAUUGGGCAAUGGGCGCAAGCCUGACCCAGCGACGCCGCGUGGAGGACGACGGGCUUCGGCUCGUAAACUCCUUUUCCCAGGGACGAGAACAAGGACGGUACCUGGGGAAUAAGUCUCGGCUAACUACGUGCCAGCAGCCGCGGUAAUACGUAGGAGGCAAGCGUUAUCCGGAAUUACUGGGCGUAAAGGGCGUCUAGGUGGGACGUCAAGCGGGGUGUGAAAGCUCCUGGCUUAACUGGGAGAGUGCGCUCUGAACUGACGACCUAGAGGGCAGGCGACGGCGGUGGAAUUCCCGGUGGAGUGGUGAAAUGCGUAGAGAUCGGGAGGAACACCAGUGGCGAAGGCGGCCGCCGAGCCUGCACCUGACGCUGAAGCGCGAGAGCGUGGGGAGCAAACGGGAUUAGAUACCCGUGUAGUCC
rnacentral:rRNA from 1 species